rnacentral:lncRNA from 1 species
AUAGAGUACUGCGACAGCCGAAUAGAUACUUAGAUUUUUUGGUUCGGGAUUGGGAUCCUAUCGAACUCGAUGAGAACGAUGAGGAUCCGAUCACCUACAUAGAUGCGAUGCAGAGGUCUGAUUCUGAUAAAUGGCUUGAAAUCAUAAAAUUCGAAAUGGAGUCUAUGAAGGUCAAUAAUGCAUGGAUAUUAGUUGACCCACCUG